ensembl:lncRNA
GGAUGGGGGUUCUUCAGUGUGCUCAUGGGAUGCUCCCAUCUGCCCUGGCUUCUGCAGAGCAGCUCUAGCUUAGGGACAUUUUCUACCAGUGCCACAUACUUUCCCUUCUGUAUAAAAUGGUCAGAGGGAUCAGCCCUUAGGACUCCCUAAUGCCUCAGUGAUAGAAACCCACCCUCCAAAAUUGCGCCCUCACCACUUUGAGAAUGUUGCGUUUAGAGAACAAUUGUCUUCACGUGUUCAACAUUGUCCUGUUAUUUAUGAGGUUUUCAACCACCUGGAAGCCAGGCAAAUACUGACCCAAGCUCGGAACUGUGCGCUGACCCAAGGACAAAAGAGUAUUCUCCAUAUGCAUUCCCUGGGCCUGUUGGUUGCCAAGAUGGGGACCCUUGAAAGUCCAGCGUGGCUUAGUCUUGAUUUCAAAGAGGCAAACGAAGAGUUCCGGCGGCCGGAAAGUCCAAGAUCACCGCGCCCGCAGCUUCGGCGUCUGGUCUUUUCUGGUUUCCGGUUGAUUGUCCACCGGGUUUGGGGAUUCAGCUUCUCCCCGAGAUAGCGUCGGGAUGUGAAAGCGCAGCCUGGGAUCCAGAGCCCCCAGGCGUGGACGGUGGGCUGGUCUGGGAGGUUUCAUUUCCAGUAAAUUGCUUUCUGGAGGCAGCAUUUACAUUCUGUCCCCAGUCCUAUGUGUGUUGCAAGGCAAUUCUUGAUGGCAUUUCUAUACUUUUUGGACUCUAUGUUUAAGUAAGUUCGAAGAGCAAACAGAAGCUUGGAAACUAGACCUAAUAGCACUUAGAAAUGUCUCUCUCUCCAGACACAUUCCAGGACAGGAAAUUCCUCCUCUCCCUGGAGAGAUCUGCUUACAUUCUAGAGGAAAGAAGAAUUGGGACAAUAACACAGAUCAGGAAAAGCGAAUAGACAAGGAGAAUCUUAAGAAAUGACUCCCUAGAUCCAGCCCACAGUCCGAGGGAGGGGAUUAUACAAGGAAGUGAAUACCAGACAGUGUGGAUUAUUUGUGGCCAUCCCAGAGGACUGGGGACAAAGGUCAGUUUUGAGCAUGCAGAUGAGGGCAAUGCACUAGGAUGGGGUGAAGAAACAGAUUGGAAGGAACUGGGUUUCUGAAUGACCACAUGGAGCCAAGUUGCCUGCCAACCUGCUCUGCUGACUCCAGACUGUAACGUGAGAAAUAAGCCACUGAAUUAUUCCUGGCUCCCUGUGACAGCAGCCUAGGUUUUACCCCUGCUAAUACAUUUACCAAGUUAAGUAACCUCAUUGAGUGUCACUUUCGUUAUCUGUAAAGGGAGAAUAAUGUUGAUACAUCCCUUGGAAGGCUGUGGUGAUAAAUAUACAAGAUAAUCCAGACAAAGUGCUUGGUCCAGUGCCCUUCUCAUGGUAAUUUUUUAAAUAAGUGGUUUCUACUAGAAUGAAGAAUGAAGAUAAUUCCAUCUUUGGUUUGGAUGAUGGAUAUAGAGCUAGGAAAGCAGAUGGAGUUGGUGAACUGACAGAAAGACCUGAACUGAUUGAAACAGACUUGCCAUGAGUGGAACCCUAGUAUUCAUAUUUUUUAAAAGUUCCCCAGAUAGCUCUGGUGAGUACCUUGGUUUGGAUACACGUACUUUAUAUUGGCUCUGUAUGUCAUAUAGUAUUCCGUUAAUUAAAUGCCUUAAUGCUUUCCUUUGAGAGAAAGAUCAAUCUAGAAUUCCUGAUAUUCCCAUAAGUGCUAGAAAAGGGAAGUAUAAUAGGCCAAAUUAGUCAUAUUCAAUGAAACACAUUUCUUGUUGAUACUGAUGUCGAAAACAAACAAACAAAAAAACUGCAUGAGAGACUUCUAUUUGGGGCGGUAUUAUCAUCUACAUUCUCCAAAGAUUCUUCUUAUUAGAUCCUGCAGAAGACUUGAGUUUUCUGGCACUUCUGGGCUCAGGAGAUAAGGGAAAUCUUCAAGCCCAUAAAUCCAACCCAAGCAAACAAAGCUGUGAGCUGAAACUUGGGAGGUGCGUUGCGAGCAGACACGUGGAGUGAGGCUGCCUUACAUGCUAAAUCAGCACCGAGACAAGGAGACCGACUCCUGAGUCUGCUUACAGUUGAGGGGAUGAACCUGAGGCUCCAGGUGAAGCUGGAGAUCCUGAAGGGAGCCAAAUCGGUCCCAGAUCAGUGGUGUCCUUGGGCUAUUGGCUGAAGCAAAUGUGAAUCAUCUCUGGAGGAGAGCAUGCCCCACAUAAGGGCCUAGGAGUUCAAGGGAUAAAGAUAAACCAAAUAUGAGCUGAUAAGUGAAGACCAACAAACACACAAGGGAACACGCCCUCACAAGUGAAGAAAGAAACCCAAAGGACAUCAGAUACUGCAGUUCUCAUUUUCCAAACAGCAUAACUCUGUAGACAGUUUUUUUUAAAAAAAAACAGACUUAUUGAGAUAUACUUCACAUACUGUACAAUUUACCCUUUUAACCCAUUUAAAGUGAGCAAGUCAAUGGUUUUUAGUAUAUUCACAGAUAUGUGCAAGCAUCACCAGAGUCAAUUUUAGAACAUUUUCAUCACCUCAAAAAAAAAAUUCCAUAUCCUUUAGCUGUCAUCACUGUCUCCUGUUUCCUGCCCCCCCCCUAGUUUAGGCAACCACUGGUCUAGUUUCCAUCUCUAGAGACCUCCCUAUUCUGGACUUUCAUAUGAAUGAAAUCAUAGAGUGUAUGGUCUUUUGUGACUGGCUUCUUUCACUCAGCAUAAUGUUUUCAAGGUUCAUCUACAUUGUAGUAUAUCAGUAUGUCUUUCCUUUUUGUCUCUGAAUAAUAUUCUGUACAUUUCGUUGUAUGACUAUACCAGAUUUUGUUUAUCCAUUUAUCCAUUGAUAGACAUUUGAGUUGUUCCCACAUUUUGGUUAUUACAAAUAAUGCUGCUAUAAACAAUCAUGUACAAAUGUCUGUGUUUUCACUUUUGUUGGGUAUUUACUGAAGAAUGAAAUUGCUGGGUUAUAUGGUAACCAUGUGUUUAAUCAUUUGAGGAACUGCCGGGCUGUUUUCCAAAGUGGCUGCGCUAUUCUACAGCCUCAACAGCAGGAGGGCUCUGAUUCCUCCACGUCCUGGCCUUGUUAUCUGACAUUUUGAUUCCAGCCAUCCUGGUGGGUAUGCAGUGGUAACUCAUUGUGGUUUUGAUUUGCAUCUCCCUCAAGAUGGCAAGCAUCUCUUCGUGGGUUUGGAUGCCAUCUGCAUAUCUUCUUUGGAGGAGAAACUGACGUAAACAUGGAGUGAGCUGGUGCAUACUUAGAUCAGGAACUUCUCGGAGGAUCUUUCGUAAGACUGGGAGGAUGGGUGUUCCACUCCCUCCAAUUAUUUGAAGUUUUAGUCCUUCUGAGGCAUUUCAAUUAGUUAAAUCUGAUCUGUAAUUACCUCAGUUCUUCUUUGAGAAAAGGAGAACACUGAGGAGGCUGCCAAAUUGACUGUACAUCUGGGAGCUCUCCAUUGAGAAGUCCAGAGAGGCUCUGCUGUGGUCAACCUCACGCUUACCUUGAAAGGAUUUGCAGUUCCGAGCUCUUGGAAGGGUCCAGGUUCCUAUCUGCAUUAAGCUACAGAGAAGGGGAGAAACAUUUUC